GACAGAGGGUGCAAACGUUGUUCGGAAUUACUGGGCGUAAAGCGAGUGUAGGCGGUCUAUAAAGUCGGGUGUGAAAGCCCCGGGCUCAACCCGGGAAGUGCACUCGAAACUCACAGGCUAGAGUAUCGGAGAGGUUGGUGGAAUUCUCGGUGUAGAGGUGAAAUUCGUAGAUAUCGAGAGGAACACCGGUGGCGAAGGCGGCCAACUGGACGAAUACUGACGCUGAGACUCGAAAGCGUGGGGAGCAAACAGGA
rnacentral:rRNA from 1 species